ACUCAUACAGCAACAGCAGAACAGCUUCACAACACCUUUUGCCCCAUCUUCAUCUCAUCAUACUAUUCUUUACCACAGGAAGGAACCAUUAACCAGAAGAAGAAGUAUCACCUUCACCUUCACUUUCAUCUUCAGAGCCUUCAGAACUUUCAGAUCUACCACUGGAUUGGGCUUUUGCAUCUGAAUUUCUAGCAGCCUUCUCCAUUUCUUCCUUUUC
rnacentral:lncRNA from 1 species